UACGUAGGGUGCGAGCGUUAAUCGGAAUUACUGGGCGUAAAGCGUGCGCAGGCGGUUUUAUAAGCCAGAUGUGAAAUCCCCGGGCUUAACCUGGGAAUGGCAUUUGGGACUGCAAGGCUCGAGUGCGGCAGAGGAGACUGGAAUUCCUGGUGUAGCAGUGAAAUGCGUAGAUAUCAGGAGGAACACCGAUGGCGAAGGCAGGUCUCUGGGCUGACACUGACGCUCAUGCACGAAAGCGUGGGGAGCAAACAGG
rnacentral:rRNA from 1 species